GGGGAUGGUAGUGGCUCAAUGGCAGAGCACCUGCCUUGCGAGCAGAAGGUCCCAGGUUCAAUCCCUGGUGUCUCCA